AUGGGGGUGGAGGAGGAGGAGGGCGCCAUCAACGGCGGCGAGGAGGGGCCCGGCCUCGCGGCGGCGCCGCACGACCGCUGGGUCCUGCUCCGCCCCGCCCAGGGCUCCGCCCGCCCCUCCGCCCGCUACAAGCAUGCCGCGGAGGUGGUUCAAGACAAGCUGUACGUGGUCGGGGGAAGCCGGAAUGGGCGCUCUCUGUCAGAUGUUCAGGUCUUUGAUUUCAGGACGUCCAAGUGGUCAGCGUUACUGUUAAGUCCUAGUCGAGAUUCAAACCAGCUGAAUCUUGAAAAUAAUGCCGGAAACCAGCCGUUCCCAGCAUUAGCAAGCCAUAGUAUGGUCGAGUGGAGGAACAUGCUUCUGGUUGUAGCUGGGAACUCCAGAGCAUCAACAUCGAAUAAGGUUUCAGUUUGGUUUAUCGAUCUGGAAACAAAUAGCUGGUCUGCUGUUGAUACAUAUGGAAAAGUCCCAAUGGCUCGAGGUGGGCAAUCUGUAACACUAGUCGGUUCUCGAUUAAUAAUGUUUGGUGGAGAGGAUAAUAAGAGGAGGCUUCUGAGUGAUCUUCAUGUACUUGACUUGGAGACAAUGAUUUGGGAAGAAGUUAAAACAGAAAAAGGUGGCCCAGCUCCUAGGUAUGAUCAUUCGGCUGCUGUUUAUGCUGAACAUUAUCUUUUAAUCUUUGGCGGUUCCUCUCACUCCACAUGCUUCAACGAUCUGUACUUACUUGACUUGCAAACUCUGGAGUGGUCUCAACCUGACACUCAAGGUGCACAUAUAACUCCUAGGAGUGGCCAUGCUGGUAUGAUGAUUGACGAAGAUUGGUACAUAGUUGGUGGUGGAGAUAAUGCCAGUGGUUCCACUGAUACAAUCGUAAUGAACGCUUCCAAGUUUGUCUGGUCUGUGGUCACUAGUGUGUCAGUUCGAGAUCCACUUGCUUGUGAGGGCCUCACUCUUUGUUCAACCACAGUUGAUGGCGAAAAGUUUCUAAUUGCCUUUGGUGGUUACAAUGGGAAGUACAACAAUGAGAUCUUUGUGAUGAAACCCAAACCAAGAAACUUUGUGCAACCUCGGCUUUUCCAAUCUCCAGCAGCCGCUGCUGCUGCAGCUUCUGUGAAAGCUGCCUAUGCUGCAAUAACUGCUACUGAUGAGAAAACUAAAGAUAUUGUUGCUACUGAUGAUUUGGAUGUGAAGAGAGCUGAACCUGGAAGUUCUUCCAAAGAAAUGGUUGCCGAAAUUGAUGCACUUAAUGGGGAGAAAGGAGAACUAGAGUCUCGACUGGCAGAAGUUCGCACUGAAAACUCAAAGCUAAAGGAUAAACUAGAUGUGGUGAAGUUGUCCCACAAUGAAUUGACAAAGGAACUUAGAUCAGUUGAGAAUCAGCUAGCUGCUGAGGGUUCAAGAUGCCAGAAACUGGAGUCCCAAAUUGCUGCUGCGCAUAAAAGGUUGGAGUCUGCUAGUUCUCUGGAAAAUGAACUGGAAGCCUUGCAGCAACAAAUAUCUCAGGCGGAACAAACCAUGACGACUUCUCAGAGACGGAAAUCAGGGGGCGUGUGGAAGUGGGUGGGAGGAAGUGCAGAGGUCUCCGACAAUGAAUAG
rnacentral:rRNA from 1 species